rnacentral:rRNA from 1 species
AACGAACGCUGGCGGCAUGCCUAACACAUGCAAGUCGAACGAGACCUUCGGGUCUAGUGGCGCACGGGUGCGUAACACGUGGGAAUUUGCCUCGGGGUAUGGAAUAACUCAGGGAAACUUGAGCUAAUACCAUAUAAUGUCUUCGGACCAAAGAUUUAUCGCCCUGAGAUAAGCCCGCGUAGGAUUAGCUAGUUGGUGAGGUAAAGGCUCACCAAGGCGACGAUCCUUAGCUGGUCUGAGAGGAUGAUCAGCCACACUGGGACUGAGACACGGCCCAGACUCCUACGGGAGGCAGCAGUGGGGAAUAUUGGACAAUGGGCGAAAGCCUGAUCCAGCAAUGCCGCGUGAGUGAUGAAGGCCUUAGGGUUGUAAAGCUCUUUACUGGGGAUGAUAAUGACAGUACCCAGAGAAUAAGCUCCGGCUAACUCCGUGCCAGCAGCCGCGGUAAAGUGACUACUG